CUCGUAGUUGGAUUCCUGGCCUGGGGUAGCCGGUCCGCCUUGCAAAGGUGCGCACUGAGCGGCCUCGGCCAUCCUUGGGAAGAGCAGUCCUGGCAUUCAGUUGUCGGGGUUGGGAUUCCCGACGUUUACUGUGAAAAAAUCAGAGUGUUCAACGCAGGCUUACGCCUUGAAUACAUUAGCAUGGAAUAAUGAGAUAGGACCUUGGCGGUCUAUUUUGUUGGUUUGCACGCCGAGGUAAUGAUUAAAAGGGACGGUUGGGGUUCUUCCUAUUCAAUUGUCAGAGGUGAAAUUCUUGGAUUUAUGGAAGACGAACUGCUGCGAAAGCGUCGAACAAGGACGUUCUCAUUAAUCAAGAACGAAAGUUAGGGGAUCGAAGAUGAUUAGAUACCAUCGUAGUCUUAACCAUAAACUAUGCCGAUUCAGGAUUGGCGGUCGUUUGUU
rnacentral:rRNA from 1 species